rnacentral:rRNA from 1 species
AGUGAACGCUGGCGGUAGGCCUAACACAUGCAAGUCGAACGGCAGCACAGUAAGAGCUUGCUCUUACGGGUGGCGAGUGGCGGACGGGUGAGGAAUACAUCGGAAUCUACUUUUUCGUGGGGGAUAACGUAGGGAAACUUACGCUAAUACCGCAUACGACCUACGGGUGAAAGCAGGGGAUCUUCGGACCUUGCGCGAUUGAAUGAGCCGAUGUCGGAUUAGCUAGUUGGCGGGGUAAAGGCCCACCAAGGCGACGAUCCGUAGCUGGUCUGAGAGGAUGAUCAGCGACACUGGAACGGAGACACGGUCCAGACUCCUACGGGAGGCAGCAGUGGGGAAUAUGGGACAAUGGGCGCAAGCCUGAUCCAGCCAUACCGCGUGGGUGAAGAAGGCCUUCGGGUUGCAAAGCCCUUUUGUUGGGAAAGAAAAGCAGCAGGUUAAUACCCCGCUGUUCUGACGGUACCCAAAGAAUAAGCACCGGCUAACUUCGUG